GACGAACGCUGGCGGCGUGCUUAACACAUGCAAGUCGAACGGGAUCCAUGUUGUAGCAAUACUUCGGAAGAUCUAGUGGCGAACGGGUGAGGAACACGUGAGAAACCUGCCCCGAACUUCGGGAUAACAGUUGGAAACGACUGCUAAUACCGAAUACCUCUGCGAAGUGGCAUCACUUUGCAAAGAAAGAGUUUCGGUUCGGGAGGGUCUCGCGGCCUAUCAGCUAGUUGGUGGGGUAACGGUCUACCAAGGCAUCGACGGGUAGCUGGUCUGAGAGGAUGAUCAGCCACACUGGGACUGAGACACGGCCCACACUCCUACGGGAUGCAGCAGUGGGGAAUCUUGUGCAAUGGGCGAAAGCCUGACACAGCAACGCCGCGUGCGGGAAGAAGGCCUUCGGGUCGUAAACCGCUUUCAGCAGGAACGAAAAUGACGGUACCUGCAGAAGAAGGUGCGGCCAACUACGUGCCAGCCGCCGCGGUAA
rnacentral:rRNA from 1 species